UCGCCAUUCAUUCUCUGAACUCAUCUUCUGCUAUUCCUUGCUCACUCUGGUUUAGCCCCACUGGCCUCAUUCUCAUCAUUGGACAUGCCAGGCACCCUCCUAUCUCACAGCCUUCGCACUGGCUGUCCCCUGUCCUGAGAUGUGCUUCCCUCCAGAAAUGGGUCAGAUAUCAUCCAAUGCCUUCCUGACCAGGCUUCACAGGAGACCUGCUGGUUGGAGGAGAAGUUUGGAAGAUACCAGAUGUGUACUCCACCUGUCAUCUGCCAAACCUGCAGGAACUGUAAGAAGUGGACAAGUUCUUAAUUGGAGGAAACUGCUCACAGUUGACCCCUCUCAGGGAAUGACAAGGACACAGCCUAUCUCUGAGAAUUUCAGAUUCAGCUGGGCUUUUCUGUGCACCUGUCUAGUGCCAGGUAGGAAGGCUUGAUGCUUUCCCAUUCACUCUCAUCUACUAUCUCAUCCACAUCCUGAGAUAUACCAUUUCCUUGCUUAUCAGAAGAGGAAACUAAGACUCAGAAUGGAGAAAUGACAGGCUAAGGUCACACAGCAAAUAAUUUGACUCUAAGUCUUCUGGGUCUAGGUCAAGAAUUAUUUCCUGAAAUGAGGUAAACACUGCUAAUGUACAAGAUGACUGUAGUUGUGUUACAUGUAUAAACCUUUAAAACAACAUUUUAGGACUUAAGAGUUUAUUAUUAUAUUAGACUCUCUUAGAAAAUAAAGAUUAACCAAUAUGCUAAACUUCCUAUAUUAGCACCAAUACCACUGCCUCAGAGGAAGUUAGAUAUACAUUUUAUAUAGUAAUAAUAUUGAGUUUCUAAUAAUACAGCGUUUAAUAUUAGCAAACAUUUUUAUAGCACUUACUAUAAAUGAACUAUAAGGUAGACAUAGACAUUGAUAUAGAUAUUUGUGUGUAUAAUUAGCUCUUAUGAGUUAGAUACUAAGUGUACUUUCUGUGUUUUACAAAUGAGAAAACUGAGGCACAGAUUGCUCAAGGAACAUACCGAAGCUCACACAGCUGAUGACUGUCAAGCUUAGGGUUUACACUGAGGAAGUCUGGCUCCAGAGUCUCUUACCUGUCUGUCUUAGUCCCUGCGUUAAGCUUCAUUUUUCUAAAAUUUGCAAGUGGAUAUUCUAUGAUGAACUCUAGAAAUGUGGCAGAAACUUUGUCCCCCAAAUCCAUUCUGCCCUUCUUUCAGAGUAAUAGAAUUUGAGAUCAGGCACAGAGCCACAGAGAAUUAGCACCACAGACUAGGUCCUGACCAACAGAGAGUGAGCAGAGUUGAUGAACAUAGUGUCCAGUUCUCGGUUCCCGCUGCCUUCUCCCCACUGCUCCGUGGUGGGAUGUGAAGGGGUAGUGAACACCUUGGACCAUGCCAACACGGGAUACACCACAGGGAAGCCAGAACGGAGAGAAAGAAAUGGACUGCCUGCUGACUUUGUGGAGAACCUAUAUCAGCUGCAAAAUUUAUGUGAGAAAGAAUAAACCUUCAUUUUGCUCAAGCUGUUGUUAUUUUUGGUGUUUCUUAG
rnacentral:lncRNA from 10 species